rnacentral:rRNA from 1 species
UGGGGAAUAUUGCACAAUGGAGGGAACUCUGAUGCAGCGACGCCGCGUGAACGAAGAAGGCUUUCGUGUCGUAAAGUUCUUUUAUAUGGGAAGAUAAUGACGGUACCAUAAGAAGAAGCCCCGGCUAACUACGUGCCAGCAGCCGCGGUAAUACGUAGGGGGCUAGCGUUGUCCGGAAUCACUGGGCGUAAAGGGUUCGCAGGCGGAAAUGCAAGUCAGGUGUAAAAGGCAGUAGCUUAACUACUGUAAGCAUUUGAAACUGCAUAUCUUGAGAAGAGUAGAGGUAAGUGGAAUUUUUAGUGUAGCGGUGAAAUGCGUAGAUAUUAAAAAGAAUACCGGUGGCGAAGGCGACUUACUGGGCUCAUUCUGACGCUGAGGAACAAAAGCGUGGGUAGCAAACAGG